AAGUCGUAACAAGGUCUCCGUAGGUGAACCUGCGGAGGGAUCAUUAAAACGUAUCCACGUAUAAACCUUUGUGAACUCGUUUACUAUAACCACGAACUUCUACGAUGGCGCGCCAAACCGUUUCAGCAAUCAGGAGUUGCUUCUACGGUUAGCCGUCGUUUGGGGGUCUCCUAUUUUUUACUUUUAACCUUAUGUAUCUUUUAUUGUACUAACGAGUUUAACGCUAACGCGUUUCACUUGAAAAAAUAAGAAAUUAACGCACAACUCUUAGCAACGGAUAUCUAGGCUCUC
rnacentral:misc_RNA from 1 species